rnacentral:rRNA from 1 species
UACGUAGGGGGCAAGCGUUGUCCGGAUUUAUUGGGCGUAAAGAGCGUGUAGGCGGCCCGAUAAGUCCGCUGUGAAAGUCCAGGGCUCAACCCUGGAAUGCCGGUGGAUACUGUCGGGCUCGAAUCCGGAAGAGGUGAGUGGAAUUCCUGGUGUAGCGGUGAAAUGCGCAGAUAUCAGGAGGAACACCAAUUGCGAAGGCAGCUCGCUGGGACGUUACUGACGCUGAGACGCGAAAGCGUGGGGAGCAAACAGG